rnacentral:lncRNA from 1 species
CACAGGCAGAUUUUUCAAAGAGGCUAGGUCAUGUUAAGCUAAUCAAAGCUACAAUUACAUUACAAACUUACUCAGGAGAAAGUAUAAACCCUUUAGGGUGUGCAAAUGUUAAAGUCCAUUAUAAAGGAAAAACACAUGUAUUGACACUAUAUGUAGUACCUAAAGGAGGACCGCCUUUGUUUGGAAGGGAACGGCUAAAGCAUAUUAAACUUGACUGAAAUGAAAUUAGGGAGGUUCAUGGUAUAAAUCAAAAGAAAACAUGGGAAGUAAUCAAAGAUUUACAAAACAAAUACAA